CCUCCGUCUACCACGAAACAGCCAAGUGUCUGGCUUAAAAAGUCAAACACAGGAGGUAUUUAGGGGGUAAGGAGUCUACAUUUAACUCCCAAACAUUCCUAAGAUUGGGUGAAUGUGAAGGUAACAGGUCUUUCUCAGAGUCGUCAUUAUCACCACUUUCAUUCAGAAGCAGAACUGGACAAAGUUAUCUUCAUGGAAAGACGUGCACCAGAGCAGACAGCACUUUAUGCAGGUACUAUGGAAAGAAUUACCUUUAGUGACCCACAUACACCAGAUCAGACAGCCCACACAUAGACCCAAGAUGCAUUCUAUA